CUGCCCAUUACAGGAAACAGCUCAUAUAGCAGCUUCUGACACUGUUCUAAAAACAGACCUGAGCUGCUUGUGUGCUGAAUAAGAAUGAGCACUGAAAACUAGUGAACAAAUUCAGCUCUUUCCAGAUUGGCAAGAGAGGACAAAACAGACGAUGGUAGCAGAAGUUGCCCAAGCUUUUGCUUAUUCACCCAAAUCAUCUAUUAGAUAUUUAACAUCUUUCAAGAUUUGGGGUUAUAAAUAACUGAGAGAACACCACCAUUUUUUAAAGACUGUCUUUGCAAGGUUAGAAAUGGCCUGAGAUUCUCCCAAUAAUUCAUCCACAAAAGAAAGGAAAAGCUUGUUGUUCUUUGUUCCCAUUGUAUAGAGGCCCC